GUGCUGGCUUCAGCAGCACAUAUACUGAAAAUGGGAACAAGGCAGAGAAGAUUAGAGCGCCCCCUGCACAAAGGAUGACAUGCAAAUUCAAGAAGCAGCCCAGAUUGCA
rnacentral:snRNA from 1 species